rnacentral:lncRNA from 1 species
UUAAUUCCAUAAUCCCAUAUUUAAUUAUGCAACCUUUUGUUGAGUGUCUUUUGGUUUCUUCAAAAUUUAUUAUACUAUCAAUUAAACUUUAGUGCCUUAAAAUACAUCACCUAAUUAACAUAGGAAGAGAGGUUCUUUCAUCUUCCCUCAACCUCAUCUUUUUAUAUUCUCUAUUAUCUAAAAUAUUGGUGGAUAUUCUUUGUACAUAUAUCAUAAUAUGACACUC